UACGUAGGGUGCGAGCGUUGUCCGGAUUUAUUGGGCGUAAAGAGCUCGUAGGCGGCUUGUCGCGUCGUCCGUGAAAACCCACAGCUCAACUGUGGGCUUGCGGUCGAUACGGGCAGGCUAGAGUUCGGUAGGGGAGACUGGAAUUCCUGGUGUAGCGGUGAAAUGCGCAGAUAUCAGGAGGAACACCGGUGGCGAAGGCGGGUCUCUGGGCCGAUACUGACGCUGAGGGAGCGAAAGCGUGGGGGAGCGAACAGG
rnacentral:rRNA from 1 species